AAAACACUCUAAAAAAUUGGUGCUUUCUAGAACCUUCCUGCUUCAGCAACUUGUAUGAGUAAUAGCAUCAACAGAUUCUAAUACCCCCAGCAAGAUGGAGAAUAUAGGUUUACUAUUCCCAUCUUGGACAAGUGGGAAUGAAGGACGUAAGAGGGUAAAGCCUUGGUAAGGAGGUUUGCCAAUUGUGAAUGAGUGGAGACAUAAGAGGUCUGAACACUGCCUUCCAAGAUCUUAUCAUGAAUUAAGUGGCAAUCAAUCUCUAUAUGCUUAGUUCUUUCGUGAAAGGCAGGAUUUGCAGCUAUGUCGAGAGCUGCUUGGUUAUCACAGAAGAGCAAUGCAGGUUUAGGCCUUAGGGUGUGAUAUUUGUAGUUCAUGAAGUCAGUAGCGAAGCCACAUGAGUUCAGAGCAAGUGGUAGCCAUAGCUUGGUAUUCAGAUUCGGCUGAAGAUCGAGAAACAAUGAUCCGCUUCUUGGAUUUCCAAGAAAUUAAGGAAUGUCCUAUGAAGAUACAAUACCUCAUGAUAGAUCUUCUAGAAUCCGGGCAAAAAGCCCAGUCGGAAUCACAAUAGGCUUGAAGUUGUAAAGGAGCAGAAGCAGAUACGAAAAUGCCUUGACCCAAAGCUGAGUUUAAUGUGCCAUAGAACCUUGUAUGCUGCUACCAAAUGAGCUGUUGUGGGA
rnacentral:lncRNA from 1 species